UACGUGUCAAAGUAGCAUCCACAUAAAUGCCAAGACUCACGGUUUCCCAGCAGAACAUUGCUCAGAGCAUAAUACUGCCUUCGUUGUCCUGCCUUCUUCCCGAAGUGCAUCCUGCUGCCAUCUCUUCCUCAAGUAAACAAAGCACAUGCACCUGGCCAUCUGACUUCUCUCAUUAGGCCCUUCAUUUUCUUCAGCUCCAUGCCAAUACAGUCCUGCAUC